UACGAAGGGGGCUAGCGUUGCUCGGAAUCACUGGGCGUAAAGGGUGCGUAGGCGGGUCUUUAAGUCAGGGGUGAAAUCCUGGAGCUCAACUCCAGAACUGCCUUUGAUACUGAAGAUCUUGAGUUCGGGAGAGGUGAGUGGAACUGCGAGUGUAGAGGUUGAAAUUCGUAGAUAUUCGCAAGAACACCAGUGGCGAAGGCGGCUCACUGGCCCGAUACUGACGCUGAUGCACGAAAGCGUGGGGAGCAAACAGG
rnacentral:rRNA from 1 species